rnacentral:rRNA from 1 species
UACGUAGGUACCGAGCGUUAUCCGGAUUUACUGGGCGUAAAGCGCGUUUAGGCGGUUUGGCAAGUCGGGCAUGAAAUCUCUCGGCUCAACCGGGAGAGGUUGUCCGAUACUUCCAGACUUGAGGGCAGUAGAGGGUGGUGGAAUUCCGGGUGUAGUGGUGAAAUGCGUAGAUAUCCGGAGGAACACCAGUGGCGAAAGCGGCCACCUGGACUGCACCUGACGCUGACACGCGAAAGCUAGGGGAGCGAACGGG